rnacentral:rRNA from 1 species
AGCAGCCGCGGUAAUUCCAGCUCCAAUAGCGUAUAUUAAAGUUGUUGCAGUUAAAAAGCUCGUAGUUGAAUUUCGGGAUCAGUAGGUUGGUCAUGCCUUCGGUAUGUACUGGUCUCACUGAUUCCUCCCUCUUGAAGAACCGUAAUGUCAUUAAUUUGAUGUUGCGGGGAAACAGGACUGUUACUUUGAAAAAUUAGAGUGUUUAAAGCAGGCUCACGCUUGAAUACAUUAGCAUGGAAUAAUGAAAUAGGACGUUCGAUCCUAUUUUGUUGGUUUCUAGGAUUGACGUAAUGAUUAAUAGGGAUAGUUGGGGGCAUUAGUAUUCAAUUGUCAGAGGUGAAAUUCUUGGAUUUAUUGAAGACUAACUACUGCGAAAGCAUUUGCCAAGGAUGUUUUCAUUAAUCAAGAACGAAAGUUAGGGGAUCGAAGACGAUCAGAUACCGUCGUAGUCUUAACCAUAAACUAUGCCGACUAGGGAUCGGAUGAUGUUAAUUUUAAUGACUCAUUCGGCUACCG